AAACCUGAAAUAUCAUGGGAUAAACAAAUGAGCAUCUGAGAUUUGUUCUUGUUAUCAUGAGUAAUUUUUUUUGCCACAAGAUUAACCAUAAGUAACUUUUUUUUGGAAUAAACUAUUUAGUGGCAUGGAUAAAUCUUAAACAAUUAUUUAUAUAUGCUACGGUAG
rnacentral:snRNA from 1 species